rnacentral:sRNA from 1 species
AUGGUUGUGUAUUUUUUCAUACAUUAUAGGUACUUGCCCAAAUAUAUGUUAAAAAAACUAAAAUGGGAACCUUUUCAGUUUGCUCAUAAAAAAUUCUUCCAGCUCUUUUCUACCUCCGUGUAAAUAAAUGUUUGAAUUCUGCCAAUAUUAAGCAGUGUUUUGAGUUUAUUUUAUUUUCACCUCUAAAACUUUCAUACAAAGUCAUAUAGUGUAUUAGAUAAUACUGUUGGUUUUACUCAGUAUACUAAGAAGUAAAUUCUGUUGACCAUUAAAUACAUAUUGUGUUAAAAUAAUUCAAGAUUUUAGAAUUCAAAGCCUUUAUUUUUGUUUUGAGAAAUACAAGUACAAUUCUGUGUAAUAUGUAGGAUUGGAAUGGAUGUACAUAUAAUUGUAUGAGAUGUACAGUAGGAAUAAAAUGGCAGGAUUUAGUAAUUGUAUGGUUGUGAUUGUUGAUCUGUUAAGUUGUUAUACAGUAUGUAAUCAAAAUUUUCUUUGUCAAAUCUGCUUUUUUAUGUAGAAUUUAAGUAGUGUAUCUUACUAUUUCAUGACUUGCAUGGCUAUACGUGGUCAUGUGUAUUUCUAUCUACAUGACUUGUGUGUAUAUAUAAAUAUAUAUAUGAUAUUUGUUAUGAACUUGUUAAAUCCCCCUACCCUCUUUUUACUGCUGAAUAUUUUUAAAGUAGAAGAAAUCAUGAACCUAUAUGGAUUCAUUGUUUAUCAUUUUUAUGACUUAAUUACACUUCAGGGUAUUUUACAGAAAAAAAAAGUUUUGAUAUUUACAGGUAUAUAUAUAUAUAUGCUCAAAUACAAAGUUUUAACCAAAAUUUCAUACAUUUCAAAAUGCCCUGAAGAAUAUAGUGCAACUUGGUGUACAUGUAGUUUUAUACAUUUGAAAUCUUGUUACCCAACUCAACACUCUUGGAUUUCUUCUUUGAUGAUUACGGUAAUUCAAUUACUUUGAAUAUGCGCUGAAUUCCAUCUUGCUGAUAUAAUGAUUAAAUGCUCUCAUAUAGAUACUGAUUAAAUGCUCUGAUAUACAUGUAGCUGCACUUCUCUGUUUUUGAGGCAUUCAUUAAGUGUAAUUUGGGAUAAUGGAAAGAUGGGUAAAACCAAAACUUACAGUAUGAUGUCAAAAUUGAUCUGUUCAUCGAUCAUUACUUUCCCAGUUGUUUUCUGUUAACAUUUUAGCCUCAGAGAAAAGGACAUAAACUAAACUAGAAUGUUGUAUGUAAUGUUAUAAAUCUUAAAGUGAUAAUAUUCUUUUAAUUAUUUUAAAGUUGAAAAAAAAAUAUAAACAUUUGCAUUAAACAAGUUUGUAGGACUCCUUCCAAAUUUUUAUCAUCUUGCAGAGCACAUAUUUCAAAGGUUUUAUAGUGAUCCGUCUGGUGCUGUCAACAUAUGUCUGCCAGCAUAGUAUACUAGUUUAAGAUAAUGCUGACAUUAUAUAGUCUUCAUCUCAUCCCAUUGUGAUCAGUAAAUUGUAUAAUUUAUAAGUCAUGAUGUCAUUUCCUGUAUAUCAAAACCAGUAAAUUUGUUAAAGAUC